GGGCGGGGCCGUCGAGAGCGGUCCGGGAGGAGGCCUACCGCACGGUCGCCCCGCGGGAACCCGGCGGCGGCCCCGCCUGCGCGCUUUACCCGUCGCCCUCCCGGGCCCGUCGCGCGCGCGUCCCUUUCGCUUUUAGCCCCAGCUGCGCUGACUGCUAGCGAUUACUCAGAAUCGUCCCUCCGGUUGGCAGAGUGACAAAAAUCGGCAGUGGCUGUCCGAGGACACCUGUUUACAAACAGGACCCCCGCCCCCAGCCGAAAGCACCCCAGGCCGAGAGCCCGGAAAUCUCGGUUCUCCUCCCACUCGGCCUCUCGCUCUCAGUGGGACUGGUUUCGGGCCUCAGUUUGCCUGUUUAUGUACUUGAUGUCAAGAAUGUGUGUGCAAUCGAACGAAAGACCUUUACAGUCUCACUGGUGACCGGCGGGAUGGGAGAAGACUGGAUUUUGCAGCCAGAUAUAUUCGGUUAGAAGUUCUUGGUUUGCCACUUUUUUCGCCUAUGGGACCUCGGUCAAGCCCCUUACACUUGGUAACUUCAUACCCAUUUUACAGAUGAGGAAGCUGACUUGGACAAAUUAACAGGAUGGCUCAUGUCUGACAGCUUCCUGACCAUGGCUCUGGAUCCAGCUCUCAUGUAGCUUUAGGCACCAACUGGACCCAGGUUCUCUCUGAAAAGGGAUAUAGACGAAACUCCAUAAC
ensembl:lncRNA